UGGCGUUCCGGGAUAUGACGACACCGGAAGUGCCGUAGUUGGUGCCGGUGGCCCAGAUCGCAGGGCCAUAGAUCACCACAUUGCGAUCCCUUUGCAGGACCAAUAUAUAGUUGCCUUGGUCCCUCGAGGUGUUGGAGGCCCACAGAGCGUUGCCGUUGCUGUAGAUCACAAGGUUGCCGUCCGCCUGCAUCUUGAGGAUGCAGUUGUAGCCACGGUUGUCCGUGCCGGAGGACCACACGGCAUUACCGGAG
rnacentral:lncRNA from 1 species